rnacentral:rRNA from 1 species
GACAACUUUUGACGGUGGAUCUCUUGGCUCACGUAUCGAUGAAGAACGCAGCCAGCUGCGAUAAGUAGUGUGAAUUGCAGAAUUCAGUGAAUCAUUGAAUCUUUGAACGCAAAUGGCGCUCUUGGGUUCUCCCAGGAGCAUGUCUGUCUGAGUGUSGGAUAUCUUACGA